GGCCUGUUGGUCUAGUGGCAUGAUUCUUGCUUAAGGAGGUCCCGGGUUCGACUCCCGAGACAGGCCC